CGAACGCUGGCGGCAGGCUUAACACAUGCAAGUCGAGCGCCCGCAAGGGGAGCGGCAGACGGGUGAGUAACGCGUGGAAACGUGCCCUUUGGUUCGGAACAACUCCGGGAAACUGGAGCUAAUACCGGAUAAGCCCUUCGGGGGAAAGAUUUAUCGCCAAAGGAUCGGCCGCGUCUGAUUAGCUAGUUGGUGAGGUAAUGGCUCACCAAGGCGACGAUCAGUAGCUGGUCUGAGAGGAUGAUCAGCCACACUGGGACUGAGACACGGCCCAGACUCCUACGGGAGGCAGCAGUGGGAAUAUUGGACAAUGGGCGCAAGCCUGAUCCAGCCAUGCCGCGUGAGUGAUGAAGGCCUUAGGGUUGUAAAGCUCUUUGUCCGGGAAGAUAAUGACUGUACCGGAAGAAUAAGCCCCGGCUAACUUCGUG
rnacentral:rRNA from 1 species